rnacentral:rRNA from 1 species
AGGAAAAGAAACUAACAAGGAUUCCCUCAGUAACGGCGAGUGAACAGGGAUGAGCCCAGCAUCGAAGCCUGUGGUCAUUUGAUCAUUAGGCAAUGUGAUGUUCAGGUUGUUCCGCAGAGACACUGCUCCACCCUAAGUCCAGCAAUGAGUACGGUAGUUUUGAACUGGCCCAUUGAGGGUGAAAGGCCCGUUAGGGUGGAGAAUCGGUCGGCCAGUGUCUCUCUGGAUAAACCUUGGAGUCGGGUUGUUUGUGAAUGCAGCCCAAAGUGGGUGGUAAACUCCAUCCAAGGCUAAAUACUAGCACGAGUCCGAUAGCGAACAAGUACCGUGAGGGAAAGUUGAAAAGUACUUUGAAGAGAGAGUAAACAGUGCGUGAAACCGCUCAGAGGUAAGCAGGUGGAGUUGAACUGCAAGCUCUGAGAAUUCAGCUGGUGAGAAUGGUUUGAGCUUGGUCAAAUUGGUUGGGUCCCGGGGUAUGCUCAGUUGCAUGUCCUUCCUUCGGGUUGGAUGCGCGAGGCACUUAUCAAGUGUUGCGCGCCUUGGGUGUCCUUCGAGCCGUCUUGCCAGUGCACUUUCUCAGAGUGGUCACCACGACCGGCGCUGUCGUCUGGCUGUUGUGGUCAAACCGGCCUUGCAGGGUCCUUGUGGCUUUGCUUGAUCGGGAUGGCAGGUAGCUCGUUCGCUUGCUCCGGCUUGCRCUCGGGUGUAAUCAGCUGACUGCAAUUGUUCUGUGCGAUGCGUCGGAGACCGCGGCUUGUGGUGUGUGCAUGCGUGCCUUAUCUGCUGCUGGAUUCUGGUCUGGUCGCUAUGUUGCUUGUUCAAGCAGGCCUAGUGAUGGCUGGAGUUUAUGUGGCGGGUGGUUGCGUGUGUGGCACUUUCCAAGGGCCAACAGUCUGUGGUGUAGUGGUAGACUUUCCACCUGACCCGUCUUGAAACACGGACCAAGGAGAGUAACAUGUGCGCGAGUCAUUGGGCGUAACGAAACCCACAGGCGAAGUGAAAGUGAAUGUCCGGCUUGUCUGGACUUAGGUGAGAUCCUGUCGUUUCUCACACGCGGUACCACCAAGUGUCGAACGGCAGGCGCAUCACCGGCCCGUCCCAUGACGUGGUCAUGGUCUUCGGACUGUGCGUCGUCGGGGCGGAGCAUGAGCGUACAUGUUGAGACCCGAAAGAUGGUGAACUAUGCUUGCGCAGGUUGAAGCCAGAGGAAACUCUGGUGGAGGACCGCAGCGAUUCUGACGUGCAAAUCGAUCGUAAAACGUGAGUAUAGGGGCGAAAGACUAAUCGAACCAUCUAGUAGCUGGUUCCCUC